rnacentral:rRNA from 1 species
UGAGGAAUAUUGGACAAUGGUCGGAAGACUGAUCCAGCCAUGCCGCGUGCAGGAUGACGGCCUUAUGGGUUGUAAACUGCUUUUGUAAGGGAAGAAUAAGAGCUACGCGUAGUUUGAUGACGGUACCUUACGAAUAAGCAUCGGCUAACUCCGUGCCAGCAGCCGCGGUAAUACGGAGGAUGCGAGCGUUAUCCGGAAUCAUUGGGUUUAAAGGGUCCGUAGGCGGGCUAAUAAGUCAGGGGUGAAAUCGUUCAGCUCAACUGAGCAACUGCCUUUGAAACUGUUAGUCUUGAAUAGUUGUGAAGUAGUUGGAAUGUGUAGUGUAGCGGUGAAAUGCUUAGAGAUUACACAGAACACCGAUAGCGAAGGCAUAUUACUAACAAUUGAUUGACGCUGAUGGACGAAAGCGUGGGGAGCGAACAGGAUUAGAUACCCUGGUAGUCCACGCUGUAAACGAUGGAUACUAGCUGUUUGGACGCGAGUUUGAGUGGCUAAGCGAAAGUGAUAAGUAUCCCACCUGGGGAGUACGUUCGCAAGAAUGAAACUCAAAUGAAUUGACGGGGUCAUAGCUGUUUCCUG